rnacentral:rRNA from 1 species
AUGUCUUCCUCCGGCUUCUCCCAGAUCGGCCUCAACAAUCAGGUCACGGAGAAGCUCACCCGUACGAACUACGUACUGUGGCGCGUCCAGAUCACGCCAUAGCGAAGGGGAGCUGGCGUCUUCGGCUAUGCCGACGGCAGCACGCCGGAGCCAGCCCGCUUCCUUCCUGGCAAGGACAAGGACGACAAGGACUCCACCGAGCCUAACCCUCUCCACCCAAUCUGGGUCCGGGAGGAUCAACAAGUACUCGGGUACCUGCUCAACAAUCUCUCCAAAGAGGUGUUGGUGCAGGUGACCACGAUC